UGGCUGAGUGGUAAAGCACUUAGCUUCCAAACCGAGAGGUCCCGGGUUCAAAUCUCGG
rnacentral:tRNA from 1 species